AGUGAACGCUGGCGGUAUGCCUAACACAUGCAAGUCGAACGGCAGCACAGUAAGAGCUUGCUCUUACGGGUGGCGAGUGGCGGACGGGUGAGGAAUACAUCGGAAUCUACUUUUUCGUGGGGGAUAACGUAGGGAAACUUAUGCUAAUACCGCAUACGACCUACGGGUGAAAGCAGGGGAUCUUCGGACCUUGCGCGAUUGAAUUAGCCGAUGUCGGAUUAGCUAGUUGGCGGGGUAACGGCCCACCAAGGCAACGAUCCGUAGCUGGUCUGAGAGGAUGAUCGGCCACACUGGAACUGAGACACGGUCCAGACUCCUACGGGAGGCAGCAGUGGGGAAUAUUGGGCAAUGGGCGCAAGCCUGAUCCAGCAAUACCGCGUGAGUGAAGAAGGCCUUCGGGUUGUAAAGCCCUUUUGUUGGGAAAGAAAAGCAGCAGGUUAAUACCCCGCUGUUCUGACGGUACCCAAUGAAUAAGCACCGGCUAACUUCGUG
rnacentral:rRNA from 1 species